UUGGGGUUUCUCCCCAAGCAGAGUUUCUGUUGAGAUUUUGUUCCCUAAGCAGGGUAUUUGUUGGGAUUUUCUCCCGACCGGAUUUUGUUGAGCAGAGCCUUUAUUAUGACUCCUCCUCACUCAGAGUGCUUGUUGAAGACUUCAAUUUUCCUCUCCAGCCAUAUUCUCUCCCCAACAUGGGUGUUUUCCUUUUGGAAGAUUCGGUAGUUGGUGG
rnacentral:lncRNA from 1 species